AACUGGCAACAGUAUAUUUUUGUUUACGUUUAGUGCUUUUUUUGGUUGAAUUGUAGUUUUGGAAUCAUAUUAAAUUAAUAUAUUUUGUUUUAUAGUCAGAACUUGUUAAUAUUUAUUAUUGAUAAAUCAUGUAUAUAGAAUAUGCAGCUAUGCACCUACCAGAUGAGAAAAAGCAGUUAGAUUUUAAAGCAAAAGCUCCAGUUUCUAUUUUUUUAGAUGAUGACAGAGCUGAUUACAAACCUGGUUGCAGCGUUAUGGAAAUAUCUUUCCCUGAACCUGUUACGAUUAGCGAAAUUCGAUUUCGAAAUAAUUAUACCGCUUUCAUAUCAUUUUCUUGCAAAAAGGUGGCUUCAGAGAAGGAUGUCAAAAAUAGAGACAUCCUUCCUUGGCAGGCAUCUAUUCGUCGUUUUAUUUUAAUGCAAGAACCUGAAAGUGAGAGAAGCUCACAAGAUAUUUUUUCAAUCUCUGCUAAAGAUAGUGGUGUGACUUUAAAUAGUGUGGUGAACUUAAGAAUUAUUUUGAAACAGCCUUCAUAUAGAUGGAAAAGAUUUGGAAUCGAAGAAUUAACAUUCUUUGGAGAACUUACAAAGGAUUCAAAGCAAACUGUAGUAUCAUAUCCUCUGUCUGCUGGUUCUAGAAGAUCAGAAUGUAAAAAUAGCACCACAGAAAUUAAUAAAAAUGACAGUAUGGAAAGCCCAAGGACUAAAUACAUACUUGCAAUAUCUGAUGUAAUGAAAGAUAAACAAGCAACAGGUUGUGACGUUGGCAGAUUUGAAUCUUGAAAAAAUUGCUUUAUGUUUUAUAUAUCUCUUUAUUCAACAAAACUGGAGAGAAUGGCUUGCUAAAAGGUUAUGUAGUUAUUAUCAGGCAUGAUAUUACCACCUGUGUUUGGAAAAUUGUUUAAUGUGAGGUUUUAGCACAAAGUUGAGGGAUUCUAUGACAUAGGUCAUCUGGUGUGAAAUAUUUUUAUUUCAAAGAAAUUCUUGAUAAAUUACAUUGUUAUGUAUUAUACUUUAGUUUGUAUCUUUGAUGAAAUUAUUUAUUUGUAAAUAUUUUAUUUUUGCACUUUAGCCAUAAUGUUUUAAGCUCUAGAAGUGUUAUCAAUAGAAACUUCUAUAUUGUUUAUUUAUUAAAAUAUUUUUAGAAUCUGUUA